GUCCGGAGGGCUGGCAGCGGCGGCAGCUCAGGGGCAAAGUUUACUCCGUCCCCCGCUCCUCCCCCAGCCCGCCGGAGCUCAUUGGGAAAGGAGAAAGCCGGGGGGAAGGAGGGAGAGUUGGACGGGCACCAGGUGACAGGUGAACAAAUCACAGGUCUUGAGUUUCUCUACCCUGCCUCUCUUGGUAACGUCAUCUCCAGUACCAUCUGCUACCUACCAGACAAACAGACCAACCACAUAAUGAGGUACCAGCUUCCACCCAGCUACCGUGACUAAAUCAGAACAAAAGAUUCAACGCCUCCUUCAACAAAGGAACACAAGUCUAAGCUGUCUUUGCUAAUUGCUGGGUUUCAGGUUGUCUGUUACAGAUUUUAAGUGAGCUACAAACUUCCAUCAGAUACUUAGAGCUGUUGGAUAAAGGUACUAAGAACAAAAGAUAAAUGGAAGCAAAAGGCAAUGAUGUUGUUCUCCUAAAAUGUGAGACAGUUUGCUUCUUGUCAGCAAGUGGAGCUCAGCUCAGCUCUUCAUCUCCCUGAGCUGCUGGAGACAGACUAGCUUGCUUCAGAUUUACUUGCUCGAUAGACUGACUUGAAAUGAUUCUGGGAAAUGAUUGCUCCAUUCAUAUAUCACUUUUUGCGCUUCUUAUAUACCAAGUGAGACACUUUUAAAGUGAAAUAAAAUAAUAAAAUAAGCUUAUUAAGAAACACCAUUCAGUUUAAAAAUAGGACAUUUCUUGUCACAGAUGCUGUCCCCAGGCUGGAAAUGAGCGUAUUUAUAAAUAUGGUUUUAGUAUUCCAGGGUAAGAAAUGUUUAAUAUCUGUUUCUUUUUCUAAGUGAUUGCUAUCCUUACCCAGUAAGUGCAAAAAUGGUGUGUGAGUCACAGGAAAUUUAAGUGGUUUGUCUUGGGAAAAUUCGGUGGUAUGCAUUUUUUUGACGCACAUAGAGCUGUUGAAUGAAUAAUUGGCAACCUAUUUAAUGUCCUUUGCUUUAAAGCUGUCGAGUACAUUUGCUGUUUAAAAAAUGUCUUUCAAAGCUGUUAAAUAUGUAACAAAAAGAGGUUGCUAUCACCAUUCUGACACGAACAAAGCCAUACAGUGAGCUGCCCGAGGUACCUCCAGCAUGGUAUUAAUUACCAACGCAAUAAAAAAAGAAAAUGCGCAAAGUUCUCAAAUUUCGUUUCUUUGCAGUAUCAGCUGAUGAAUGUUUUUUAAAAACAUACAGUAAAAAUCUCAGUCCAGGCAUUAGCUGUUAAUUAUUACCUAAGCCAAGCACUUGGGGGAGAGCAGGGAAUCUGUUGGGUCUGUAAUUUCACCAGUUAGCCCUGACGAGUAAGAUCUCUGGCUGUCUCAGAAGCAAACCGACCUUAAAACAGUAACACACUUUCAAGAAGAUGAUCGGCUAAGAAUGUGCUUUAUUUUGAUUUGAAAAACUGUCAAUCAUAGGUAAAAAAGAGCAAAUAAUGUUUUUAUACAAUACGAGCUAAUUGUUCUUGUCUGAUAAACCAAGAAUAUGCAGGAAAAAUAAAUAAUAAAGUGUAAAAUGAAAAUAUUCAGAAUGUUUUGCCCAGAUGUUGUGUAGAGAUUGUUUGUCGCUGAUACAAGCAGUAGAUUUCAGAAAAAUAUGCAAGCAUGUAUCUAUAUGUGUGAGAGAGAAAUAAGAUACCCAUAAUCUUACAUAUUUCAGUUUAUAUAGCCACAGCUAUUUAAACAAUUCCAAAACUGCCUCUCCGGGUGUUAGAGAGGGAGGGAAAUCUUCAGCCACAUGAUCUUCUCUCCAGAGUCCUGUUAAAUCCACUGAACUUAAAACAGAACAAGAAGUGUGAAAUAUGGGUUUGAACAUGUUAUGUCAGAAAUGUAAAGGUUGGAAGCCUUUUUAGUAACUGAUAUUAAUAUUGUAUUAAAUGUUAUGAAAAGGUAGGUGUUGGAGAGAAGGGCUGGGCUCAUGUGCAAUUUUGUCAAGGUUUUUAUCUGUGAUUAUGAUUCCAGAUGUAUCUAUUCCCUGAGGAGAAAAAUGAAGUAAAGUUGGCAUGUGACAUGUGUUUUAAGGUGUUUGGCACAGUUUCCCAAAGUGAUGACAAAAUGUUCAUUUUUAUUACUGUGAAUUGGUAAAGAAAAUAUGAUUCUGAAGGUCAGUGGCUGUGUAUUCAAGAUAGCUGUGGAGAGUUAUUUUGGGGAAUAUGGAUUUUAGGUGGUGUGCUUAGAUUUACUUGCCUGACUCGAGCUUUUACCAUAGUAAAUAAUAAUUUGCAUAGAAUAUUUUUACAAAAUAUGAUUUUUUGAUAACUGCUAAUCCAAUAAAAUUCAAUCGCAGAAUAUGGUAAAGAUUGCAAAAAUGUCUCUUUUGAAUCUGGUAGUGUAGCUGCUUCUUAAUGGUUUGUUUUUAAUCUAAUUUAUAGUGACUAAGCUGGUUGCUGUACAGUUAAGAGCUGAAAUAACUGCAGUAAGGCUCUUUGUCGCAGAACAGUUGUUAGAGUAAACAGAUGGAUUUUUAUUUUCUUUAAACAAAGUGGCGAAGGUAGCUUUGUUGGUGAAAAAUGUUUUGUCUAAAUGCACGCUAAGACUUUAGAGGAGAAAGUUCCUGUGAUUACCCAGCUCCCCUUCUCUUCCCUGCAAAGCCCUUCUGCGUGUAACAGAAUCAGUAAUUCCAUGCUGACAGCAGGGCACCCAGGGCUACAUUACCAGGCAAACACUCACUCAUAAACAUUUUACAAGUUCAAUACCAACCAAUCCUGGCGGUUUGGGAGGCUGCCCUGAUUGGGUAUAGCAUGGAUUUGGUAAACACGGCUACAUAACAAAAAUAAGGUUUGUAGAGAAAGACUCCAACUGUAUUGCCUCUGCGGAAUAAUCAGGGACGAAGAAUAUGAUUAAUUCCAUAUUUUAUAAGUAAACUUCCACAGCUCUGUGUCCAUCUGCAAAUAUUCAGAGUGAUGUGCUCGAUACAUUCCUUUCUGUUCUACAACCACAUUUCUUUGUGAAUUUAACCACAUCAGAAAGCACUUUGGAUUUCUAACACAAAUAUUAGAUGCAUUUAAUGUAAGGAAGCUUCCUUUAUUGGAGGUGAUUGGGAACAUUUUGUAUUUUAUAGGUAUAUUUAAGAGGUUAGCGGUAGGGGGGAAUCGUCUGUGGAAAAUCUGUCUACAGCUGAAAUUUUUAGAUGCAGAAGUGUUGCUGAAAUGCCUAAAUACAUUCACAUUCUUUUAUUAAGUAGCUCACAAGAGUAUCCUGUCAGAUACCAGAUACUUCUUUAUUAUUUUUUUAAGUUGAAUAGUGUUAAUUUCAGUAGGAUAUGCUUGUUUUCAUUCUUCUGUGUGCAAUUAGAAGAUUUGCAUUCUCAAGGGCUUUACUGUUUAUCUACAAUCUUAUUUUUUUUUGUAUAAUCUUCUGCAACUUUAUUUAUCUUCAGUGCAUGCAUGAGAAGCGUAAAGCUACUCAUUUCCUACUAAAUUAUUGAUAUGAUUUACAAGUUUUCACAGAUUAAUUUUCCAUGGGGUAAUUUUUCUGGACUAUAAAAUAGCCAUAGUUAAAGAAUGCCAAAGGUUUAAGUAUUUUAUAGUACAAUUUAGAAGUCCAUUUUUGAAGUCCUCGUUUUUAUAUUUUAGAUUUAGAAUCCUAUUUAUAUUUCAGUAUAAGAAAAAAUAAUAUGGAGUGUUUGAAAAUCAGAACUGUGGUAUUUUUCAGAUAUUGAAAUCAGCCUGCCUAAUGAGAGCUGAAGACUUGCUCACUGGAUUUAUUUAAAAGCAGUACUCUUACAUAUUCAUAAAUUAAAAUGGCAGUUUUCAAUGAGAUACUUAUUACUGUUUUACUUGUUAUUUGCAAGAUACCUGACCAUUUAAUAUUUGUCCUUUAUUUCUCUGAGCUGAUCUAAUUGCACCUCUCUAUUUUGCAUUUAUUUCUCUUUGCAAACACUACAUUAUUCACUCUCUCCUGUGCUUAUUAAACAGUGCCACCUGCACCAAAUGAAACAAAGCUUCUCCAUCAAUCUAUCCCAGCUAAAGCACCCUGACUAUAUAUUAUAAUUAAUUGAAGCUCAAUUGAACACUUGAGUCUGAACUAGAUACAGUAACCUGGAAAAAAAAAAAAAAAAAAAAAAAGUUAAAAAAUUAGGAUGUACUUUAAAGAAAUCUUUUAAAUGAAAAUGUUCACUCUAAACUGAGAACCUAACCUUGUACCAAGCACUCUUCAUCAUCUCCGCACAGUACCUCAAGUAGCAAUUAGCAGGUCCUUUAAUUAAUUAACUAUUCCCUGUACAUCACAGGGAUUUUUGUGGCACUAACGUCAUCCUUCAUAAGUGAAUACCAAAUCCAGUCAAUAUUUUGUCACUAUAAAUCCUUAUCUGGACUACCCGAAUGCCCACCGCAUGUCUCUGCAAAAAUGAUUUGAAAACACAGCAAGCAGGUAUGGAAAGCAGAUGCAAACUUUACAGGACUAGCCUAGGCAAUUAGAACAGAUACAGCUGAAAGGGGAGGUAAAUGCAGGGUACCUCACGUGUAAAUGCUCGCAAUCAGAAGAAAUCAGGUAAGACACAAAGUGAAAUAGGAAUGAUGAAUUCCUAUUUACUUAACUACAAAUAUAGUUAAGUAAAAUUAUUUUACAAGAAAACGCUGAAUGGGUAUUCAAAGGGCUGUGGGCUCUGCUCACUGUGCUGCUUAUCUUUAACACUGUCUGCUCUCAGACAAGAACAGAUUAAUUAAGUGGCAGGUCAGACACAAGGAGGUGAAAGGGCAUUUCCAACCAAUCGCUGACAUUUCACCAAUUUUAUACUUUGCAAACUUUUUAUGUAAGUAUGGAUGUGGCUGGUUGUUUUCAAUGCAGUUCUCCUUUGGAGAAAUCCUAAGUGGCUUUAAGGGAAUUAAUAUCUGAAAAUGAGAUACAAGGUAUUGCUGGUUUUACAGUUUACAAAAGAUGCGGUAUGUAAAUUUGUUUAUAUAAAUAUGUAUAAGAUACAUGACUGUGAGGCUAUGUGUGUGUGUGUGAAUGAACAUAUGUGUGUAUAUCCAGCUCUCUAUUUGUAGCUUCAGACACAGACAUAUGUUAUCAUUUCUUAGAGGCAAAUAUCUGCAGAAAUAAUUCUUUGUGUUCAGUAGUUUUCUUUAAUGUGUAGUACAUUUAUCUUAACUGAUCUCUGUGUUCAGGGAAGAUCUUGUGAAUUUAUGUACAGCAUAAUGAAAUCAAAUAAAGCAUGUCUUACGAUUUUGCAAGAAUUAUACAUUAGCAUUUUCUUUCAAUGCAUGUAAUAUUUUGAAUUAGGGAAUAAACUUGAUAGUUAAUUUAAUAUAUAAAUAUAUGGUGGACUUGAAGAAAUAGACACUGGAAAUCUCAAGUAAGAAAAAAGGAAUAAUUAUU